AUGUUCAUCCAACAAUGUUAACAAAUAUUGCAUUUCAAUUGUGAGACCUCUUAUAACUAAAUUACCUUCUUACAUAAAUGAUCAUUUCAGAAGUUUUCCGCAUUCUUAUUUUACAAGAAAAUUAUAAAACAGAACAAUGAGAAGAUAUAAAAUUACAGUAUUUAAAUCUCAAGACUCAUCAUUCAAUGACAAGUUUUCAGCAUUUGCACUCAUCACGUGCUAAUCUUGUUCUCACUGCCGCUCACUCUCCGAUCGCGGAUCCUUCAGAACCUCCGCGAAUACGGCGACACACUCAACGCCAUGCCUUAGGGGUAUCAGUGACGCUCGCAUCACCUGAUCUCGAAUAAGAGUCAGUUACAUCAUGUACCUUGUUUGAAGCAUCAAGAUUUUUGUUAUGAAUCAGCCUUGCAAAUGUAAUAACUGCUUUCAACACCCUUUGAUCAUUUGGUAUUCCGUUGCCUUCUAGUGGAACGUCUUCAUGUGUCUCCCUGGAUAUUAGACACCUGAUGGCUGAUAUUAGCACACAAAUAGUGGAAGUGGCACCAGAGAUGACAUAUAGAACCCACAAGCUUCCAAGAUUCAAACUAUCCGUAUCAUUGGAGGACGUCACGUUGGAGCAAUUCUGUGAGGGGUGAAGCUGGUGUAUCUCUUGCAGUAUUCACUGAUGAAUACUUUUUCAUAUGGGAGCUCAAGAAAAGCAGCUGCUAUGCUGUUGUUAGCAAAGGCUUCAUCAUACUUGUAUUCAUUGCCACUGAAUGUCCGUGACAUUUGGUCGCAACUGCUUAACUGUGAGCAUUGAAGAAAGACUAGCUGUGUAGCAUGAGGUCAGAAUUAAUACAAGAAAAAGCCACGAGAUCAUCACCAAUCGAGUUAAGUUGCUGUGCAUUUUUUCCCCUGCAAGAUGAAAACUAAGACAUUACUUGACUUAAUUAGGUCACCGUUUUAAAUUAGGUGCUUUCUUGAACAGGUUUAUCUGUUUUUUCAUAAUGACGAGGAAGUUUAAGAUUGAUACUCACUAUGAGCAAAGAACAGAGAGGAGAAAGUAAACCAAAAAGCUGUGCUGAGCUGGAGCUUCAAGUUUCCAUGAAACUCGGGGUUGGGUUCUCUCUCGAGAUACCAAACAACUAACAUUGUGUAAAUCAAGAUUGCACCUGUAACCAGCCACAAUUCCCAGGUAAAUGGUUUCAUAAACAUCCAUGCUGAAUCUCCAGACUUCAUUGGAACUAUCAUUGACAAUCCUGAUUCUGCAUAUGGCACUGUAAAAUCCACAUACUUCAGUCUUUCCUCUAUUAUGGUCAUGUCUCCAAUAACAGCAUCAAAAGUCUUCCAUCAUUGUUUAACCACACAUAAACAAAAAAUCCUAAUCAAUAAAUCACAAACAUAUUGAAUCUCAAAUUUCAUAGUAAUUAUGUUGCAUUUAUUUAGUGCAUAUUAUUAGUUAUUCCUAAUCGCUAACUAUAAGUAUCUUUCUCAUAUUUGAUAGGGAGGUCAUUGAUAAUCAUAGAAACCAAAAUAAAACAUUUGAUUUCAAAGAAAAAUAGAUUUAAUACCUUGUUAUAGACGAGUGGAACCAAAUCGUUAUAUGUUCCAUUGAUAGCAUGAUAUUCAUAUGGAAGAUCGUACCCCAGCAGUUUUUGUACUUGCUCAAAAAUGUCAAUGCAAAAUCCACUAUAUUUAUUAUCUUUUCCAUUCUGACCAUAUUCAACCUUGACAAACUUGUAAAACGAGGUUCUGCUUCUGACUGCAAUUUUCAGUGGAUUUUGUUUGGUAGGCAUCUUCCACCCCUUUGGAUCACGGUCCAAAUUCCCCGGCCAGCGUACACCCCUGAAACAUUCUGUAUUUCCAGCAACCUUAUUUCCACCCUGUCCAGUAUGGGGGAUUGUAGUGAAACCAUGUUGCUCGGUCCAAAAGCAUAAUUCCUUGUAACUCUUCCCAGCAACAUUUACAAUUCUUAAGACAAGAUUCUUCUGCAUGAGUUGUCCAGCUUCAAGUUGAAUAUGGCCACUCAAACCAACAAAAUUGCUAGACUGUAUUUCUCUUAGUAAACUCUUUGGGCUGCUAUUGUUUCUACUGGUCAUCCUGGUGAUUGCUUGAGUUACAAUAUUAAUGCUAUCAUAUGCUUGUAGAGCAUAAAAUCCUGGGUAUCGGUUAUCUUCCUCUGGAUUCUUUAACCAAAAAGUUCUCCUGAACUGAAACUCAAAGUUUUGAUAAUCCUUGCUUCUCUCUGAGUAGUAGGUUUUAAUUCCUAAAGCUCCUUCCAUAUAGGAAAUAGCAGAUUUAUUGAUAGAGUCCAUCAAAUUUGUUAUGCUCUCUGGGAUUAUCCAAACUGAUUCUUUAUCCACCAGUCCAACUUUUGAAGCUUCUUUGAACAAAUGGAUUGUCAUUUCUAAUGAUGAUUGCAGCACUAUGAACACCCGAGAUUGUGUUUGUUUUAACUUAAUCAUCUCUUCACUAACUAGCUCUCCUGGAUCAUGUAUAGAAGAAAUUGGGGGAAGGACUAAGCUGUGUUCAAUAAUUGAAUCCACAUCCUGAAGGGCCUCAGCUAGCAGGGCUAGCAUCCCAUAAUCCCCCCCGUAUCCGUCAUCUUCGUAGAUUACUACUACUCUUUUCCAGCUAUAAGCUUCCACUAUGUCUGCAAUGCAUUUUAUAUAUGCUGUACCAUUGUUUGCUAGUCUCACCAGAAAAGGCCAUCGAGUUUUCAUCAAUGGUGGUGUUAUGGUAGGUGCUGCAAAAGAUAUGAUAGGAACUUGAGCUUUCCUUCCUAUUUCAGCUACUAUACCUGCUUCUGGCCAUGUGUGCAUCCCUAUAAUCACUUGCACCUUUUGCACCUUAAUCAUCUCUUCAGCUGCAAUUAAAGAUCUCACAUUCUUCGUCAUACACAUUUAAGAAAGCUUAAUGUUUUUUCUCAAAAAAUACUAGAUCUACUUACCAAGUGUGAUGGCCCCGAGGGUAUCCUUGGUGGAGUUCUGAAAAUAGAGAGCCAGCUUGUAGUCCUUUGAAAUGUUGUUGUAUUUCUGGGCUGCCAUGUCCAUGGCUACUUCUUGUUCUUUCCCUAUACGAGAAUUAACAUCAAUGAUCACCCCAAUGGAUAUAACUUUGUUAUCUGAAUUCAUCGUCUCAUUUUGGAAACCAUAAAUGAAAACAAAAGGAGUGAGUAAGAAAAAGAAUAGCCAAAUUCUUGCUAGUGUUUGGGGAAUAGUUGAAAGGCAAUGCAUUUUGCUACAAUAUCUUUUGCUCACAUAAUCUACUAGCCUUUGUUGGAAACUGUGUAUGGACUAGCCUUUGCUCACAUGAUUACAUAGAGAAAUUAAUAUUACUUGAUGCCAAGGAUUUUGGGAGUUAUUUUGGUAGUUACUUGGAAGUUUAAUGUUUGACUUUGUCAAUUCUGAUGAUGUUGACUCCAUACUUGGCUUACAAGUUGCUGAGUUACUAGAAGGAAGGCUAGUCAUAAACACCUCAUAAGGGAGGGAAAGUAAUUGUUAGGAUCACCAAUUUGUUAGAUGGGAUAAUUCUUGGAUUUAGAGAUGGUGAAAACUUAGAAAGAGUGUUCUAGAGUUUAGACACUGUUCUUAAUAUUAUUCACUAAAAAUAGAGUACAACUGUAACAAAUUAUGUCAAUAGAUGUGAUAGAAGUUGUCAAUGUUGAAUGUGACUCAUAGUUAUUGAUAAGCGGAAAGGAUCUAUUGAGGGAAGCAAGAGAAACAUGUCCUUAGGCUUGGUCUAAUUAUUUCUUGUGAGAGUGAUUGGGGUGUGGGGUUGGAAUUCCUCUGCGGUACAGUUUAGCGGUAAUGUCAUAAUUUGUAUCAUAAAAUAAAAAUCAGAAAAUAACGUCUCUAAACCAACUAGAGAUAUGUUGAUUAAGUCAAAAUAGUAAUCUUAAUUGCAUUUAAAGAUAAGUUGAAAGAUUGUAAAAAAAUGGAUGCUUCUUGGAAACACAGAUUCUUGUUGGAUUAGCUUUGAGCACUAUAUUGGCCAGCUAUGAGAAGUGGACCAAAAUCUAAUGACAUUUAGGCUUUGAUAUGUGGCCACAAAAUUUGGGACAAUAGUUCAUAAUUAAUGACUUUAGAAGCUGAAUAGGAAAUUUGAGUAUGAAAAUUUGUAACUAUAUACAUUCCAUAGCGGAACUGGUCAUAUAAUUCAACUUGCAUACUCAAUAUUGAAAUAUGUGAACAUGAUUGUCCUGCAAAUAUCAGCCUUAUAUUUAUCAUCUUUUUGUACCUUUGUGAAAUGUCAUAUUUUACUUACAUAAAAAUAAAGAUGUAUACAUCAAAAUAGAUGGCGGAGAAUGAAGACAAAUGUAGAGUGAUAUGUAAUCCCUUGUGCAAGAAAUUUAAAAAGUCUCUUGACCAUACAUUGUAAUAGUUGAAUUUUGCAAGUGCACCAUUGGGCUUAUUUGUAGGAAGAACUUUAUUUUUCUCUAUAUUGGAUGGGUGAAGAACUGAUGUUAUUAUAGGAUUUUCAAAAGGAAAUUGAUGAAAUGAAUCACAUUAGAUAAUAACUUUGAAAUACAAAUAUAUGUAUUAAAGUUACUAUAGGUUUUUCAAGAGUGCUACUACUACAUUUAUUAAAAUUAAACAAAUAUGAUAUGAGUUAUAGUCAAUGCAUGUAAGUUUGUGAAUUAUAUCAUUUCUAUGGCAUGGCAGCUGACCGGGAGCGAGGCAGAUCGCUCCGUUCAUCAGAAAUGCUUAUACUCUCCAAUUUUGGCGAAUUUCGACGACGUACACCAAAGAUUCGGAGAUUACACUUCCUUGAGGAUGCUGAUCAGCUUCUUCAUAGUGGUUAUCUUUAUGUAAACACUUCUUCAACAAAGCUACUAGUAAGCAGAUGGUGGAAGUGGCAGCACAUAUGACAUAGAGUCCCCAAAAUUUGUCAAAAGUCAGACUCUCAGUUUCUUCUGAAGAUGAUGGUUCACCAUAGGCAACGACGCUUGAAGUACAACAAAAACACGAGAUUUUAAGGGCAACAGCUUCAGCAAUUCAUCGAGAACAGACCCUUUUGGAUCAGAUAAAGAAGUGAAUGGUGGAAGAACUAAUAGAUACUCAAUCUGCAAGUUAAACUUUUCGGAAGCCUCAGAUAAGAGACUUAACAUUCCAGAAUC